rnacentral:misc_RNA from 1 species
UCUAGGGCAGUGUACCAAGUCCGCUC